GAUAAAAACAACUGAACUUGCAAACAUUUUAAUGGAAAACAGAAUCAGUAAGGCAACUCUUACCCUCCCCCACCCCCUACCUUCCUGUUGAGCAGUUGCCUUAUGCCAGUUUCAAGCAACUGGUGGUUAUACUCACGAUUUCCCUGUACUUUCCUCGGGAUAAUCAUCGCACACUAACUGUACUUAUUGAACUGUCUGCCUGCCUCACCCAACGCCCCCCCCACUAGAAUGGGGGUCUUUUGGGGGGAAAGGGGCUUUGAUUUGCCCACCACGGUAGCCCCUGCUAAGCAAAUAGUAGGCAUCAUUACAUAUGUGCUGAAUGAAGGAGUAGUAAAAUGAGGGCUCACAGUAGAUACUAAUCAAGAAUUUGUGAAUGAAACGCCUUUAGAAUAUUGGGAGAGGUAACUGAUGUCAUUAAAUGGGCCAUUUAGGCUGGCAAAGGAAGAGUAACUCUUGCCUGGCAAAGUGUAUCUAUAGCGACCUUGAGCAUACUAAACCCACAUUUUUGGACUGGGGUGAGCAAGCAGUGUGGGAGAAUUUUGUACAGUGAAGAAAUGAUUCUACUUUAUAACUGAAUCUUAUACAUUGUAGAUGACAUUAUUCAAUUUAUAGUAGUCUCAGCCCGAGGCUGGCCUCUGGGCAGAAUGACCCAGCAGAACCUGAACGGGGGAGAAAUAAACCCCAUGCACGGAAAGCACCUGGAACAGAAAGCCCCCUGGAAUCCAGGAAAAGAUGGUAAGUGGACACCCAGAACUGAAGGAGGCCGCUCUAGGUGGGACCUUCGUCAGCGACAGCGGCGACCGGGGCUCACUGUGUGCUCUAGAUUCCAAGGUGACAGAGCCGCAGGUGAGUAACAAUUCCGUCACGCGUUCACGAUGUUGUCCCAGGUAACUGCAGAACCCGGCAUCCGCUAAGAUUAACCAGCUCGUCGGCGGAUAAAGUACCCCCCCCCCACCACUCCCUCUCCCACUCGAGGUGGCAGAAGGUUACUGAAAUUUGGUGUGCAAGAUAACAGACUUCACAUAUGUCAAGUGUUGCUUCAGAUCCUUGGCAAUCAGUGUUGCAGACCCACCUAAAUGUACCAAGAAUUACCAUCUUUUUGAAAAAUCUGAAGAACAUUUUUCCUUUUGCAUAAACCUUCAUGCUGUGCUAACCCUUCAUUUUUAGUAUUUCACAGCAACAAACUUUAAUAAAGAUAGCCAAAGUACAACUACCUCUGUCAACAUUAAGUUGAUAGAAACACAGCAAAUACGUUGGGAAUAACCAGAUCACAAGGAAGCCUUCCUCCUGGGAGGAAGGAGCACGAGGGCCGAGGGAAGAGAAGCAAAAAGAAAAUGGAAUUGGCAGUGAAAAGGACAUGUCUCCAUCGGUUGACUAAACUAACAACUCUCCCAAACUAACAACUCUCGUUCAAAAACCAUCCGUGAGUCAGUGACAAACAUAUACUAAAAUAAAUCUAAAUUAAUGUGGAGAAAUUGACCAUUCCCAUGUCUUAAACCUUAGCAAUAAAAUAAAAGAGGAUGAAUAGAGUGAGGUCUAAAAUUAAGAAGGUUAUGGAAGAGGGAUAUGAAAUAUGAGGGAAAUUAGCCAUUAAGUAUGUUUGAAUUUAGGUAGUAGAGUGUUUUGCUUGCUAAGAGCCGAAGUUUCCAUGCCGUCCCAAGAGGCACUAAGCUUAGAUAGUAGGACAUUCACUGAAUCCAACAAAUUCAUUCUUGAGUGCUCAAUUUUAAUGGAAAUGUCCAUAUUGUUGUGCCUGUGGUUGCUACUAUUCCUUCCAUGGGAGUUAUCCAUCAAGGGAAUACAGACCAAAAUGAUGAAUUUGCUUUACGCAUGGGGUGGAUACACUGGGACUGCAUUCCGUAGGAUGGAUGAAAAUUUACCCUCUACCAGACAAAUGCUUCCAAGUUGCCCAGGAUUAAAAGCUGGAGGCCAUGGGAACUGUCUAAACCACCUUUGCUGUUGAGUAUUGCAUAAAACUGAUGAUAACCUGCAUAUCGAGAAUUCUAGCUGCAACUGGGCCUUCCAGUUAAAACCAGCAAUUGACAUUGCUUUCAGAAAAUAGGAAGUCAAAGUAGACUUCAGAGAACCAAGUGUGACACACUUAUCUACUCAAUCUCAGGAGAGGUCAUCAAUCCUAAACCAUUCUGAAAAUGCAAGUAUUAGGUUCAUUCAGCAAGAUGGCUUGAGCAACUCCUCCCUACUGGGCAUUGUUGUAGGUGUGAGGAAUAAGGCAUUAAACCAUGGGAGCCUCUCCCUCUCCCUGGAUGCUUGCAUUACAGAGAAGACUUCCUUCUUGGCUGCAGUUCUGGAUGGCACGGGUGGAGGAGGAGUUGGCAACUAUGGGAGUUGCACACUUGCUGCAUUAUCUGAACGUGAAAUCAACCCCAAAUCCAAACAUAACAAUGUGAACCAAUUAGAGCAUAAACAAAGCUUUACAAUCCA